rnacentral:lncRNA from 1 species
UCCUCUCUUGGUCGGCCACCAUCGCCGGUGACAGCAACAGUAGCGGCCGGCGACGGUCCGACCAGUGGUGGCUGAGGGUUGGGCAGGUGGCGAUUGUUGCCCUUGAAUCAAAAAGAUUUGAGGAAGGGAGAUGUAUUCCCAACCCUGAAAAGAGAGGGAUCAUCCCUUUCUUUUGGUUUCUUCACCGGGACCGGCCAUCAUCGCCGGCGUGGCAGCGGCCACGGCCGGCGACGACAUAGGCCGGUGGUACAAGGGUGGGAGUCGGGCCACUCCGACUGCCCUAGAUUUGGAGGGAUUGAGAUGUUUGGAGACCUGGUGAUGGACCCCAUAGUAGAUGUGAAUUAUGGUUUAGAAUAUUUAAAUAUUAAAUAAUUUAGUUGUGAUUUAUAAUUGAUGUUGUAGAGGAAGAGUCGGUGGUGCCAGGAGAUUUUGAUCAGGGGACAGCAUCCCAGCGCGCAGGUUGUGAUUCGGAUCCGUAUUUGAGUCGGUCCAUAAAUUUCUGUAAGAAUCCUUG